rnacentral:rRNA from 1 species
GGCUGAAACUCGCCUCGCAUGAAGCUGGAAUUGCUAGUAAUCAUAGGUCAGCAUACUAUGGUGAAUACGUUCCCGGGCCUUGUACACACCGCCCGUCACACCAUGAGAGUUGAGAAUACCCGAAGUCCAUGUCAAAGUGGCCGAAGGUAGGCUUGAUGAUUGGGGUGAAGUCGUAACAAGGUAGC